CAAUAUUUUUGGAAGUUUGAAAAAGUGUAGCCAUCAAAGUGACUGUGAAAUGUUGAAUUAAAAUUCAUAUCACAGCCAGCUUUGAUGAGCUUCAUGUUUCUGUCUGACACCAUUUCAGUCU
rnacentral:precursor_RNA from 10 species